rnacentral:lncRNA from 1 species
CAGGGAAGGACUCCUGGGGGCUGCGUGAACAGUUCCGGCGCGUGGAUCCACGCACCACCGCCACUGGCGGCGCGUGGGUUCACGCGCCGCCGCAAACGCAAACAGGGUGGAUCAGGCUCGGCUUCUCUCCUUCUUCCUCUCCUCACCGGCGGUGAAAGCCCCCGUUAUCUGCAGAACGAAGAAACACACAAAAUAGCAGUUGAUUUUAAUUUUUUUUCGUUUUCAAUCUGUUCUCUUUGAUCUGCUUCUCUGCAGAUCGGUUCUUUCGGCGUCUUCUUCUCCUCUAAUUCAGGUAGCAGAUCGUAUGCCCAAGGGGUGGCCGGCGGCUGAGCUUCGGUCGUGGCUGUGCAGCGGCCUGUGCUGGUUCGGGCGAGGAUGGCAGUGGGCGCCGCUGUGUCGGGCUGCUACUGGAGGAGAGGAUGGAGCUGGGUCUGCUGUGGUGGCUUGAUGGUGGAGAUCGGAGAGCUUGUCCGUGAGAAGGGGUCUCGGCUGAGAGGCAGUCGAUCGGUGGAACGGAGAAGAAGAAAAAUUAAAGGAGAAAUGGGCAGCGCCGGUGGUGGUUAGAGGAGGAGAUGAUGGGGCCUGCUCUGUGCUGGGAGAAGGAAAAAAAAUCAGGGGAACAGGGGACGACAGAUCUGUUUAGGCUGAGGUUUCGGGCAGCUGUUGAAGGAAAAAUCAAAAGUCUGGUUGGGGGGGGGAAAAUCAAAGAGCUAAGGGGUUCUUUUGGGUGAGCGCUGCAGGGGAGAAGAAGAAAAUCUCCAACGGGACUGGAGACUGUGGGUGCUGCCCCUACUGCGGGACCCGAAAAAAUGGCUCAAAAAUCCCCCCCAGGUACAAGGCUGGGAUGAGAAGAAUAUGGUUUUUUUUCAUUAUGAGGAGGGCCACCAUGUCGGCGGGAAACAAAGAAAAGAGGACCAUGGGUGGGGUUGAGCUGCUUAAUUUUUAGCCGAAAGAGAGGGAUUAAAUAAUGGUAUUGGGCCAGGGGCAACGACUAAUUUCGGGUGAAGAGAAAAAAAUUCUUAGGUUGCCCCUCCUUCCAAAAUUCAAAAUUCCCUUAGGCAAAAAUAUUGUUUCGGCCUCAAAAUUGGUCCCUUAAUUUUCUUUUUUUUUUGUAAAAUUUAAUUUUUCUUGUUUUUUUUGUAUUUUUUGAAAACGAGCAAUAUCAACGUCGACUCAAAUACGAAAAAUCAAUUAUUUUAAAAAUGACGCGUGAAAAGUCGAACACGUUCGAAAGACCCUUAAAAAAAAAUUUUAAAAAAAAAAAUUUUAAAACGACGUUGAAAAUGCUAAAAUGACGAAAAUAUAUUAAAAACAUAUUUUUUUGGAUUUUCUUUGUUUUUCUCUAUUUUUGGAUUUUUUUAAAAUAUCAAAAACAUGGGUCAAAAAUUGGGUAGCAACAGAUGCCCCCUCUUUACAAUGCUUACGAAGCAAAAAUCCUCGAUGUUUUGCAUAGUAAGCUUUGUAAAGAAAAACUUGUCUUUCUGUUUGCUCAAUAUAUUUUUUUUGUUAACCUGAGAUCCCAUCUGGCGACCUCCUUUACCAAAACCAAAGAAUGCGUGUAGCUCGGUCAACCCGAAACCCCAAUGGAGAUUCCCUUUAACCAAAGCUACAUGAGAUCCCAUCUGGCGACCUCAUUCAACUGGAACAAAAAUAUUGUGUAACUCGGUUAACUUGAAAUCCCAUCUGGCGAUUCCCUUUAACCAAAGCUACCUGAGAUCCCAUCUGGCGACCUCAUUUAACCAAAACAAAAGAAUGUGUGAAAAAUGGUCUCAUUGUAUGGGUGACGAACCCCAGUGGAAAGGAGGAAGAGUGGUCUCAUUCUUUGGGUGACCUACCCAGGGGGAAGAAUGGCCUCAUUCUUAUGGGUGACCUACCCAGGUAAAAAAAAGAUGGAGAAUGGUCUCAUUCUAAUGGGUGACCUACCCAGAAAAAAUGGUGGUCUCAUUGUGAUGGGUGACCUACCCAAGUGGAAAAAGGAAGGAGUGGUCUCAUUCUUUGGGUGACCUACCCAGGGGAAGGAAUGGCCUCAUUCUUAUGGGUGACCUACCCAGGUAAAAAAAAAAGGAGAAUGGUCUCAUUCUUUGGGUGACCUACCCAGAAAAAAUGGUGGUCUCAUUGUGAUGGGUGACCUACCCAAGUGGAAAAAGGAAGAGUGGUCUCAUUCUUUGGGUGACCUACCCAGGGGGAGGAAUGGCCUCCUUCUUAUGGGUGACCUACCCAGGUAAAAAAAAGAUGGAGAAUGGUCUCAUUCUUUGGGUGACCUACCCAGAAAAAAUGGUGGUCUCAUUGUGAUGGGUGACCUACCCAAGUGGAAAAGAGGAAGAGUGGUCUCAUUGUUGGGUGACCUACCCAAGAGGAAUAUGAAGUGGGUCUCAUUGUAAUGGGUGACCUACCCAGAUGGAAAAAAUGAAGUGGGUCUCAUUGUAAUGGGUGACCUACCCAGAUGGAAAAAAUAUGAUGAAGUGGUCUCAUUGUAUGGGCGACCUACCCAAUGAAAAUGUGAAGUGCGGUCUCAUUGUAUGGGUGACCUACCCAGAAUGGAAAAAAUAUGAAGUGUGGUCUCAUUGUAUGGGUGACCUACCCAGAUGGAAAAAAUGUGAUAUGACAAGUGUGAAAAAUAGGACUUACCUGGCGAAGUCCUGAGGGGAUGACAGAAGAAGGGCUGGAAAACUUGGUGCUUCCUGAUAAUUCCCGAUCAUAGGGUUUGAAAACUCGGUGUUUCCUGACUGCAAGGGUUGAAAACUCGAGGCUUCCCGAUUGCAAGGUUGAUCUUUCAUUUCUUUGGGAUUUUCCUAAUGGUAAGGUUUAUCCCAUCGUCCUUUUAUUCCAUGAUCAAAACCGAUUCUUUAUUAUCAUCACCACAAUGCUUCUUUUUUUCCACCAUCUUGCUGGACCUCAUUAAGGAUUUUCCUGUAACAAAUUCAAAAAUAUGUGCAAAUGGUUUUUUUUUUUUUUUAGGUUAGAUGAUAUGCAUGCAUCCUUACCUGAUUUGAAAUAUAGGUCCCCCCCUCUUUGAUGCUCCAUCGUCAUAGGGUGCCCUUGUUUGCAUCCCAAAGCUUUCUUUGUUCUUUCGAUGUAUUGGCUCAUUCAUGUGCUAGCCAUCCACUCAGCUGUAAAUGCAGUGCCCAUCCCGGGCUGUCUUCGACAAUUACUGCUUGCAUCGUUCAUCAAGCUUGACCCUGCCCCCAAGUGUGGUACUGCUUGAUUCAUCAUGAAGAUUUUCUCUCUUGGAUUCUUCUGAGAAUUAUCCUUGAUUGAUUGUGUGCAUCAUGCAACACCCAUCAAGAUUGUUAAUCAAUCAUGAACUUGCCUCCAGUUGAAACACCAUUCAAGUAUAUGCGGUCACCAACCUUCAUGGAACUGCCAAGUCAUCCAGACAUGGAUCUCAUGCUUUGCAGUAAACAGCUCAUCAUUGUAAGCGCGAUGUAUUUCUCUAUGGAUUCCUCUUAGCUUGUCAAAUCAGAUCGUGAAAAUAAAUGCUUUGGCAUCAUUAAUGAUGUUCAUGUUAUCACCCAUAUUCAUGCGGUGAAGUGCGCAUUUGAGCUUCAGAAUAGAUGGUCCCAUAGUCAAUCUUAGUGGUAUGCAUAUGUUCGAUGUUCAUUCAAAUGCACUCACCCGAUAACAUCUGUCAGGAGUCAUAGCCAUGUUUUACAGGGUAACCCAAGAUGAAGAUAUGAAAAUAUCCUUCAAGUGCAGCGUUGCUCAUCAAUUGCUGCUGAAGUGCACUAGAUCAUGGAUUGUCUUUGAACAACAUUGCCCCAAUAUGAUCUGAAGGUUCUUCAUCGUUUAUACUCAAGGUUUUUCUUUGUCAUUGUCAGAUGAAAACUUUAGACUUUGAUGACUCAUCAUCUGAUUCUUUCUUUGCCCCCAGCUGAUCAGGAUAUUGUUUGUUUUCUUCUUGGGUCCACUGUAUUGCCCCCAGGUGGUCAACGUUUCAAGGAGUGUCGAGAAAUGUUGAUGUCAUUUUUGUCAAGGAUUUUGCAAACUCAAUUGAUGUUCUUGUUUGAAAAUCUUUCUUGUUCUGGAAUCAAAUCUCACAUUUCAACGAUCAUGUCUAUUCAAGUCUAAUUGUUGAAAUGAAAUCAGAGAGAUGUCUGUUUUUGAAAUUAUUUUCAAACUUCUUUGGUCAAAGACCCAACACACUAUUCAAUGCAGUCCUUUGAUUGUCUUGUAUCUUGAAAACAAAAAUGACCCGUUGUAAGAUUUAAAAUGACUUUUUUCAUGGUUCUUUGUGUCCAUUUUAAACUCUGAUUUUGGGUAUAUCUUUUGAUGGUCUGUGAUCAGGUGACAUUUUUAUGAAUUUCAAAAACAAGAUGCUCAGGCUUUAUUAAGAAAGGUUGUUUCUUUUCUUAGCAUUUAUUUUAUCAGCAUGCAUAAUAACCAGUAGCUUAAUUCAUGAAGUCACGACCCUUAUGGAAAAACUCUUCAAGUUUUGAGAGCGCCAUUUAUCGAUUCAAAUUGCUUGCUUGAUUAAAAAGGGCUUUUAAAAGCAUGUAAUGCAGGCUAUGGUUCAUGGCUGUGAAAGAAAGGAAUUUCAAAGGCUCAAAAGGUGUUUGAGGGUUUCAACGACUUAGGAUCAACAUUAACUAUUCAUCGAUUCUCUUUCUCUUGUCGUCAUUGUAGAGAAAGUGACAUAUAACCUUGUUAAUCUCAAAUAUCAGAAUUCUCUUAACAUAGGUCGUAAUCCAACUUUUUCUUUGAUGAAUAACUAAUCUAAUUUUGAAGACAUUAGAGGCUCUAUCCGAGACACACCAAAAGAUAUGAAGCAUCAAUUUUUCUAGUGUUGACUUUUGGCAUUUAUUGUCUAUUCUCAUUUGAAAGUUGUCUUGCCUCUCUUAGAAUUGGUAGGCAUUUUCUUUCAUUUCCUCAAAGUUUUUCUUGGAUGGCCCUCAAUCUAUGGAUUUUCUUCUUCUAGCCCUUUCUCAAACAUUGGACUUUUGUUCUAAGCUUUUCUUUGAUCCAUUGAUUUUAUCCGUGUCUCCAAAAUAUUUCUCAUUUGCCCCCAGUGUGGGGUGUGAUCCUAGUCAGGUUUUUUAUGAAAAAAUAUUCUAUCCAGCUCAAAAUGGGACUACAAGGGAGAUAAUUUUUAGAAAGUGACAGGAUAUCAAAGAUGGCCUUUUCUCAUUUCAAGCAAGGUCGGUUAGAACCGAUAAAUUUUGACCUCAUCUAGUGUAAUGAUUGGGACUUGUAAGAGUCACGAUUCACGACUCCAUAACUACCAAAUCCACUACAUGUCAUUAUGCAUACUGCUAAAACUUAGCUAUAUGAUGUGUGGUUCAAACUUGUGCGUGAGCUCAAAAAUUGGUUUGGUCACCUCAUGUCAUUUCAACAAGAAUCGAGUCAUUUUUGCAAUCAAAACACUUUUAAUCUUCAGGAUUGAUUAGCCUUUAUUUCAUGUUGGAGUUUGAUCAAAAUAUUUUGUCAAAAUACCCUUUGAAAGAAGUAUCUCUUGAUUUCAAAACAACAAGAAGACAAAGAAAAGACAUGUUUCGUCCAAGGAUGAGAUGUGAUCCCAAAACAAAAUGCAGAAUUCCAAAACAAUAUGAUUGACUGUUCAUCACCAUUCUUGAAUCAGCUUUUCUGGCAAUAUUUGCGUUUUGCCAAGCACUUUCGAUCAACAUGUCAUUCUGAAGAUGUUCGGGGGACAAUAUAGCCAAUGACACCCUCCUUCACCGACUCCACUUGUCUCUUGCUCACCAACUUUCAGACUCAAUUCUUGAAAUUCUUGAAACUGUUCACUUGAAAUGGUUGAGGACCCCACCAUGACAUCACAUCUCUUAUCUAGAUUAUACCACCUAGAAAAUGGUGAUUGCAUGGGAUUUGUCGGAGUCAAGCAAAAUUCUGGAUCUGACAGAUGCUGGUCGACAAACUUAAAUGGUAGAGGAAUGUCCCAUCUUGGCAAAGACAUUUGAUCAAUUGAUGCUACCGUGAGACCUAGCUAUACCACAUAAUUAAGGGCUCACACUGUCAAAGUCAUCUCCUGAUUCACCUCUCAUCAUUGUUCUAGAAUCCAUGGCAGACACUUCAAUCUUUCUUCUCUUCAUAGCUUGUUCAAUUCUUCGGCAAAUCCUCACAACAUUAUUUCAAUCUUCCAAUGUUGCUAUGGUUGGUUGAGGAUUGUUAGAAAACUUUCUAACAGCUUGGUAAUCUUGGCAGUGCCCAGAAACUUGUAGUAUCGCCACUACCGACGUGUGGAAUCAUGCCUUAUCUCUUUUAUGGGAGAAAAUGAUGGACAUGAAUCUCCUCUAUUUUUCUUCGAUUCCUCUCGAACGGUGCAGCAAACAAGCACCAAUAGAGGAAGUCCUGCUCUGUUGAAGUUUCAGCAUUCUUCAUGUUUGUCAGUCUAGGCAUGUCUCUUCUCUCUACUUUUGCGUUUUAAUGCCGACAUUGUUGGAGAAAAAUCAUAGAUGAUCUGAAACUAUUGUAUUCCUUCUUGGACUUCCCACUUGCGGCUCCACAAACAGAUUCCUGCUGAGAGAGCUCUGCUACGUUGAAGUUUGAUGUCUGCUCAUAUUUUUCAGACCAGGUCUGACUCUUCAACCUACUAAAAGGUCUUCGUGCUGAAGCUGAUGAGAGAAAUAUUUGUAGCAUAUGCAACUUAUAAAUCCCCUCUUGCAUUCCCAAUUUGCAGAGCCAUAAAUGGAUUUUUGUAGAGAGAGCUCUGCCACAUUGAAGUUUGACAACUGCUAAUAUUAUCAGACCAGGUCUGACUCUUCUGCCUACUAUAAUGUUUUGUUGGUGCCACUGGUGAGAAAAAGUUUCAAAGCAUAUGAAAUUAAUACAUCCCCCUUUUGCAUUUCUCAUUGGCAGAUCCACAAAUAAAUCUCUUCAGAGAGAGCUCUACCACGUUGAAGUUCAGUGUCUGAUCAUGGUUUUUCAGACCAACAUCUUGUGCUGCUGAACUGGAAUUGAGCUCAUUAUUGGGGUAACUUCAAAGCAGACUAAUGCACCAUGUACAAGAGGCUAGUAGUCGUUUGGUUCCAUUAGAUGAUGUGGAGGCGAUGAACACUUAACAGUGCAACUAGACAAGAAUCAGAGUUGUCAUUAGUUGAUGACUGAAGGCAUUGCUGCUGUUGUUCAUGACUGAAAAGAAAAGGCAGCUUCAAUUGGACGUGGACAAGCAGUGUUCCCAUAGAAGACUGUGCAGACAUUCUCUUUCCAUUUGAUGCUCAACACUUGUUCGAGCAGAUCUGAGUCCAGCUAUUUCAUCUUUGAUGCUCUCAAACUCAAACUGAUAAUGAGCCUCUAUCUGAUAUCUUUCUUCACUUCCAUCCUUUCUUCAAUCACUUGCAGCACAGCUUGUGCGGGGGAACCUACUUUUCAACCCGGUACAUGCAUGAUAAAUGUAUGAAUAUGUAAUCUAUAUGACGAACUCACCCUUCGAGGGGUGACAAUAUGGUCGUAACUCUUGUAUGAUGGACAAGAAUCGUGAUUUUUGCCCAAACUCUACAAUGAAAAUUUUCGGAGUGACGGCAAAUGUGUCACCCACAAGUCUUGAGUUCAAGAUGCUUCAAGAAGGGUUUGCUCGAAUGCAAAACAAUAGCACAUACAUCCUAAAGACAGGCUCUAUUCAUUUUACGUGAGACAGGGUAGGUUUGCUACUUGGUCUCUAAAAUGGUCUCUUGUUGUCCCAGUGAUCGCCUUGUAAAGGCAAUAUAGGGGCCUAGUAGGUAAUUGGUUGGCACGUGUCCAACUAUUACCAGUCUAAGCACUCAACAAAGAGUUGGGGUUUACACAAACUUAAACCUUGACUCAAGUCGUAAGGUAAGCUGCUAGUCCCCCACCUAACCUAAAGCUGGUGUGUGCUUUCAAAAAUUAAAACUUGUGAUGCAUGAGAGAAAUAUAUACAAUGCAUGAAUAAAACAAAAAUAAAUAAAACAAAACAAAAAAUAAAAAAUAAAAACAAAUGAAACACAUCAAAACACAAAGCUUAGUCCGAUAAAGUUGAAAACAAUACCUGUCCCCAGUGGAGUCGCCAUCCUGUCGCACCCCAAAAAAAUCCUCCGGCGCGCGGCAUCGGCUGGCGAUUUUUCUCAUUUGUUGCGUUUGCUUGAAUUGGUUCGUUAAGAGUCGCCACCUAGUAAUUCAUUGAAGGCUACUAGGAAACCUGAUGUACUGGUCUUGUCAGAGAUCGCGGGUAAGGGACUGGUUGUGGUUAGGGAAGGUAUUAGCACCCCUAACACACCCUACAUGAGGUAAGCUGCUUUGUGUUCUGAUGUAAUUUGAAAAUUUAAAAUAUUAAUUAAAUUCUAAGGCUUGAAUAAAUCAGUUAUUACAUCCCCGAAUAUAUGUAAAAAAUUGUUCUUACAUUUUCAUGGAAAAUACAACUUGAUUUUAUUUGUCCUUGAGAUAUUUAACCAUAUUUUAGAAAAUUUAAAAUAUUAAUUAAAUUCUAAGGCUUGAAUAAAUCAGUUAUUGAAUCCCCGAAUAUAUGUAAAAAAAUUUGUUCUUACAUUUUCGUGGAAAAUACAACUUGAUUUUAUUUAUCCUUAAGAUAUUUAAUCAUAUUUAAAUUAACAAUUAAUUCUUUUUAUCCUUCUUUUAUUUUUACAAUUUAAUAACAUAAAUAAAAAUACAAACAAGCACACAUCUCUUUUUAUUAUUUAUUUUCUUUUAUUUUCUUCUUUUUUUCUUUUACAUUCACAUAUUACAAAUUUAAAAUAAAUAAACAAAAAUUACAUUAAAACUUUAAAAUUUACAAAAUGGUCCCUAAAAACUCCAGAAAUUACAGGGAAGGACUCCUGGGGGCUGCGUGAACAGUUCCGGCGCGUGGAUCCACGCACCACCGCCACUGGCGGCGCGUGGGUUCACGCGCCGCCGCAAACGCAAACAGGGUGGAUCAGGCUCGGCUUCUCUCCUUCUUCCUCUCCUCACCGGCGGUGAAAGCCCCCGUUAUCUGCAGAACGAAGAAACACACAAAACAGCAGUUGAUUUUAAUUUUUUUUCGUUUUCAAUCUGUUCUCUUUGAUUUGCUUCUCUGCAGAUCGGUUCUUUCGGCGUCUUCUUCUCCUCUAAUUCAGGUAGCAGAUCGUAUGCCCAAGGGGUGGCCGGCGGCUGAGCUUCGGUCGUGGCUGUGCAGCGGCCUGUGCUGGUUCGGGCGAGGAUGGCAGUGGGCGCCGCUGUGUCGGGCUGCUACUGGAGGAGAGGAUGGAGCUGGGUCUGCUGUGGUGGCUUGAUGGUGGAGAUCGGAGAGCUUGUCCGUGAGAAGGGGUCUCGGCUGAGAGGCAGUCGAUCGGUGGAACGGAGAAGAAGAAAAAUUAAAGGAGAAAUGGGGGGGGGCUUGAGCUGCGGUGUAGAGAGAAAAAUUCAACGUGGGGGCUGCUGUUUGGCUGGUUUUGAAAGGAAGAAAAAAAACGUUAAGAGCCCCGGGGCUCUCUGGUGUUUUCGGGUCAAAAGAGGGGGGGUCUUGAGGAAGAGAGAGGCUGUGGCUGAGAGAGGAAAACGCAGGGGCAGCGCCGGUGGUGGUUAGAGGAGGAGAUGAUGGGGCCUGCUCUGUGCUGGGAGAAGGAAAAAAAAUCAGGGGAACAGGGGACGGCGGAUCUGUUUAGGCUGAGGUUUCGGGCAGCUGUUGAAGGAAAAAUCAAAAGUCCGGUUGGGGGGGGGGGAAUCAAAGAGCUAAGGGGUUCUUUUGGGUGAGCGGCUGCAGGGGAGAAGAAGAAAAUCUCCAACGGGACUGGAGACUGUGGGUGCUGCCCCUACUGCCGGGACCCGAAAAAA